rnacentral:rRNA from 1 species
GUCCACACUGUAAACGAUGAAUACUAGGUGUGCGGGACUGACCCCUGCGUGCCGCAGUAAACACAAUAAGUAUUCCACCUGGGGAGUACGAUCGCAAGGUUGAAACUCAAAGGAAUUGACGGGGCCCGCACAAGCGGUGGAUUAUGUGGUUUAAUUCGAAGCAACGCGAAGAACCUUACCAGGGCUUGACAUCCUACUAACGAAGUAGAGAUACAUCAGGUGCCCUUCGGGGAAAGUAGAGACAGGUGGUGCAUGGUUGUCGU